rnacentral:rRNA from 1 species
UACCCGCAGCACAAGUGGUGGUCAUUAUUAUUGGGCCUAAAGCGUCCGUAGCUGGCUUGUUAGAUGCCUGGGUAAAUCGAUGCGCUUAACGCAUCGAAUUCCGGGUAGACCGGCAAGCUCGAGACCGGGAGAGGUGUAGGGUACUCGGGGGGUAGGGGUAAAAUCCUGUAAUCCUCCGGGGACGACCAGUGGCGAAGGCGCUACACUAGAACGGCUCUGACAGUGAGGGACGAAGCCCUGGGGCGCAAACCGGG